UAGAAAAAGGUCCUCUCAAUCUUUUCAUAUUUCAUCCCAACCCCAAAACUCUUAUCAAAAUCUCUCUCAGCCCCCUCUUCCGCUUCCAGGGUUUGCAUAUUCAGUAUCUGAUUCUGAUACAAUAUACUCUCUCUCUCCUAGGGUAUUGUUCAGCUACUUUUCAUGGCAGACGCGGGUGAUUUCCGAUCUCCUCUAUUGUUCUUGUAGGUACCAUCUGGUCUGAGGUUUCACAGGGCAGAGUAGCAAAAAUUGUUGUUAGUAUUCAAGUUUCAUUCUAGGAAAUAUUCACAGUAGGCUUAAAGUUGAGGCGAAAGGAUGCCUCGUGAUUUGGCACGGUCGCAAUCACGAUCGCCUUCGUAUAGGCGAAGGCGUUCGCCGUCUCCAGUGGGGCAUAGGGGUAGCAGGAGAAGCCGAAGAGACAGAAGCCGGUCUCCGUAUUCCUCAUAUUCUUAUAGCAGGUGAUCCCGUUAAUAUUCUUGCGUUGUUCUGCUAAUUUAACUGAUUCUCAAUCAAUUGUUGGAAAGAUUGAAGCGUCUCAUUGCUCAUACAGUUUGGAUUUACAUGAUAUCCAAGUUGCUAUGUCUGCAUCUUCUUCCGUAUUGAUCCUGUGGUACUUUUUAUUUCAAGUAUAAAGCCUACGUACUUGUAGGCUUGCAAGUUACGGGGGGAUGGGGAUGUUUGUAAUUUGUUUAAUAUUUGACCAGGACUUUGGGAAUGGCUGUUCAGAUUUAUUUUCUUAGAACAUUGUUUCAUUUUCCAAUCGUGGAGUCAUAUGAUUUUGUUUUAUAGAAAAUGAUUAUGUACUCGUAUGUUUCAAGAUUGCCCGGUACCUCCUACGUUGAUGUUGAUGCAUAGCUUAAUGGGGGCAUUCCAUGAAAUAUUGCUUUGAGUUGAAAUUCUGCAUGCUAAUCACUAAUAUUUGACUUUUUUGCUUUACACCUUCAAGUGGACAGGAAUUGGUAGUUCCAUUGCCUACGUUUGGUAUGCUUUUGACAUUUGCUGUUCUGAGUUUUCUAUUCUGAUUUUCAACUACCGUUGUUGUUUGUACACCUUACGCUUGGUUGCUGUCAUGCUAAUGCCAAAGAAUUGCUGAUGUUGUCAUAAAUCUGAUGGUUGACUCAGUUUGGAUCUAAAAUUGACGGACAUGUGACCUUUGGAAAAAUCAGUUUUCGAUUCUUUCUAAAUAAUUGGAUAAGUGUCUAGUAUGAAUAUAUGGAGUAAAUUAUAGAGUUGUCAGAGUGAUAUAAGGAUGCAUGCUCUUCCUAAGAAUUUAAAACAACUCAGUUUCUUCCCGUCAUAUGGGAAGUGAGCAGGUGAUGGGUGCCGUUGGGUGUCCUUUUGUUGCUCGAUUGUGACAUUUGCUUCUUCAUGUGAUAAAAGAUGGAGCACACAAAGGUUAUACUUAACAAUGUAUGAGGUAACUGUACAUGUUUCUAUAUAUUUUGUGCUACCCGGUGGACUGGCUUGAUAGUUAUUGAUUAUGUGGAGUCAUGUGAAAUUUUAAUUUUUUUUAUAUUAAUAACUAUUUUUUUCCAAUACAGACGGAAAAGUCGUUCUAUCUCCCCUAAGCGUCGUAGAAGUCGUUCUCCAACUCCAAGACGUCGUAAAAGUCGUUCUCCAACUCCAAGACGUCGUAAAAGUCGGUCUCCAGUCUUGAAGCGUUAUAAGAGACAAAGAAGUAGGAGCUCCUCAUUGUCUCCAAUUCGUAAAUCUUCUACUUCAAGUCUUGGAUUGUUGGAGCAGAAAAAUGCCAGUGAGAAAUUGAGAAAGGAAGAAGAAGAAGAGAAGAAAAGGUUACUUGACAUUCUCCUCCACAGGAUUUUCUGAAGGAUGAUACUGCUAUAGUUCAACUUGUUAUAUUUGAUGAUCAAAAUGGGUGCAUCGUUUAUCUACUGUUCACCAGUUUUGAAACUCAUUUGUUUGGAUCAGGAUACAUUAGAGGUAUGCCUUAAAAGCAUAACCGUAUAUAUAGUACCUGUGUCCUCAUGAAGGUUAGUUUGUCAUUUAUUGUAGUCAGAUAAUGACGAGAGAAGGGGAGGGGUAAUAAAAAAAGAGGAAGCAGUGUAUGUUGAUUGGUUUUUUAUUUGUAAUCAGGCGGCAGUUUCCCUCUUUAUUUCAGAGGCCACUAUAUUGCUUAACUUUUUCACUUGUGCUCUCAGGCGGCAACAGGAAGCAGAAUUGAAACUGCUAGAAGAAGAGACUUCAAAGAGAGUGGAAGAAGCAAUAUGUAAGAAAGUUGAAGAGAGCUUGAACUCCGUGGAGAUUAAAGUGGAAAUACAGAGGCAGUUAGAGGAGGGACGGAAGAAGCUUCUUACUGAAGUUGCAGCACUACUUGAGAAAGAAAAGGAAGCAACUCUUAUUGAGGCUAGAAAUAAGGAGGAACAAGCUCGAAAAGAGAGAGAAGAAUUGGAAGGGAUGCUUGAAGAGAACCGGAGGAGAGUAGAAGAAGCUCAAAGAAGGGAAGCUUUGGAGCAGCAGCGGAGGGAGGAGGAGCGGUACAGGGAGCUAGAAGAGCUCCAGAGACAAAAAGAAGAGGCAUUGCGAAGGAAGAAACAAGAGGAGGAGGAAGCACGGGUGAACCAAAUGAAAUUGUUGGGUAAGAACAAAUCCCGGCCAAAAUUGUCGUUUGCAAUUGGAUCCAAAUAGAUUCUUUAUGGAACAUGGCUUCGUUCCGAUCAAUAUGUCUUGACUUGGUUGCACGUUUGUACCUGUAAUGUAAGAAUAUUUGGUAAAUACAGUUUUGGUGUUAUAAUGUAAUCAGUUCUCAAUUAUCGAA